AAGGCGGCCUACUGGGCACCAACUGACGCUGAGGCUCGAAAGUGUGGGUAGCAAACAGGAUUAGAUACCCUGGUAGUCCACACCGUAAACGAUGAUUACUAGGUGUUGGAGGAUUGACCCCUUCAGUGCCGCAGUUAACACAAUAAGUAAUCCACCUGGGGAGUACGACCGCAAGGUUGAAACUCAAAGGAAUUGACGGGGGCCCGCACAAGCAGUGGAGUAUGUGGUUUAAUUCGACGCAACGCGAAGAACCUUACCAAGUCUUGACAUCCCUUGACGAUGCUGGAAACAGUAUUUCUCUUCGGAGCAAGGAGACAGGUGGUGCAUGGUUGUCGUCAGCUCGUGUCGUGAGAUGUUGGGUUAAGUCCCGCAACGAGCGCAACCCUUAUGGUCAGUUACUACGCAAGAGGACUCUGGCCAGACUGCCGUUGACAAAACGGAGGAAGGUGGGGAUGACGUCAAAUCAUCAUGCCCUUUAUGACUUGGGCUACACACGUACUACAAUGGCGUUAAACAAAGAGAAGCAAGACCGCGAGGUGGAGCAAAACUCAGAAACAACGUCCCAGUUCGGACUGCAGGCUGCAACUCGCCUGCACGAAGUCGGAAUUGCUAGUAAUCGUGGAUCAGCAUGCCACGGUGAAUACGUUCCCGGGCCUUGUACACACCGCCCGUCACACCAUGAGAGCCGGGGGGACCCGAAGUCGGUAGUCUAACCGCAAGGAGGACGCCGCCGAAGGUAAAACUGGUGAUUGGGGUGAAGUCGUAACAAGGUAGCCGUAGGAGAACCUGCGGCUG
rnacentral:rRNA from 1 species